rnacentral:rRNA from 1 species
AUUGAACGCUGGCGGCAUGCCUAACACAUGCAAGUCGAGCGGAAGCAGGGCGUCUGCUCCUGGCUUGUGGCGCAGGCGGGUGUGAUAUGCCCAGAAGUCUGCCAUCGCGGGGGGGAUAGCGUCCGAAGACGGGCGCUUAUCUCAUACGCGUUACGAUUGAGAACGGGGGGGCUCAAGGGAUCGCGCGGUCUCAGCUGAGGCUAGGAGAGAUUAGCUAGUUGGUGGGGUAAAGGCAUACCAAGGCGACGAUCCGUAACUGGUCUGAGAGGAUGAUCAGCCACACUGGAACUGAGACACGGUCCAGACUCCUACGGGAGGCAGCAGUGGGGAAUAUUGGACAAUGGGCGAAAGCCUGAUCCAGCCAUGCCGCGUGUAGGAUGAAGGUCUUCGGAUUGUAAAGCGCUUUUAGUUGGAAGGAAGGGCAGUAUUUUAAUACAUGACUGUCUUGACGGUACCGAAAGAAUAAGCACCGGCUAACUACGUG